CCUACGGGUGGCAGCAGUGAGGAAUAUUGGUCAAUGGCCGGAAGGCUGAACCAGCCAUGCCGCGUGAAGGUCAGUGCCCUAUGGGCGUUAAACUUCUUUUGUGCGGGAGCAAUAAUGGUCACGUGUGGCCAGACGAGAGUACCGUACGAAUAAACAUCGGCCAACUCCGUGCCAGCAGCCGCGGGUAUACGGGGGAUGCAAGCGUUAUUCGGCGUUAUUGGGUUUAAAGGGUGCGUAGGCUGUGAGGUAAGUCAGCGGUGAAAUGCCCCCGGCUAACGGGGUGAAGUGCAAUUGAUACUGGCUAGCUGGAAUGCGGAUGCCGUGGGAGGAAUGUGCGGUGUAGCGGUGAAAUGCAUAGAUAUUACACAGAACACCGAUUGCGAAGGCAUCUCACGAAUCCGCGAUUGACGCUGAUGCACGAAAGCGUGGGUAUCAAACAGGAUUAGAUACCCGGGUAGUC
rnacentral:rRNA from 1 species